AGGGUUUCUCUCGUUUCUGUUUUGGAACUAGGGUUUUCACCAUCUUUUUGGUUGAAAGUUUUGGUGUCCAAGUGACUAUUUGCACUGGUUUGUCUAAGUGAUUUUUUUCACUUGGCGGCUAAGAUGUCGGACUACCCUGUGCUUGAUAAUCGUCCAAUUAAUAAAUGGAAAGUAGCAGAAUUAAGGGAUGAGCUUAAGAGGAGGAACUUAACGACAAAAGGUUUGAAGGAUGAUCUGGUUAGGCGAUUAAAUGAAGCUAUCUGCAUAGAAAUGGAAGCUGCUGCAGUUAAAGAGAGUAAGGAUGAUGAUCGUGACAUUGAUCCUGCCAGUGGUCUUGAAGAUACUGAACCCGAGCCUGAUCCUGUUAAAUUGGUUGAUGAUGUUCUGGAGCAUCCCCCAAUUGAAGUUACUCAUGGUUCUGAACAUAUUACUGAUGCUACAUGUGGUCUUGAAGAAGCUCAACCAAAUAGUAAUCCUGAUAUAUUGGUUGAUAACGUUCAGAAGCAAAACCAAGAUGAAUUUAACAGUAUUGACAGUGAUGUUGCUAGGGCCACCACCAAGAAUUGUCUUGUUGGAAUAGACCAGAACAAAGUCAUGGAUGAGGUUGCAACUGGAGGUAAUGAUGAUGUUCUGAAGCAUCACCAAAAUGAAGUUAACGAAAUUGAUGGUGAUGCCAGUGCUAGCACCAAGAAUGCUCUUGUUGAAAUAGACCAGAAUAAAGUCUUGGAUGAGGUUGCAACUGGAGAUACUGCUGCUGGAGAAUCAGACCAUUUGGAGGCACCGGUUGGUAGCACUAGUGUUAUAAAUGAGAUUGCAUCUAAUAAGGAACACAAGGUUAUUGAUUCUUCUCAGGAUGAUUAUGUUGCUGAUGGGGUAUCUGAAGUCUGGGAUGGUUCUAUUCCAGUCAGUAGCACUAGACAGGAUGUUGAGGAUAUGAAAAUUUCAUCUUAUGAGGGAGUGCUUGAGGACAACCUUAGGGGACAAGAAAAUGAUGUGGAGGUAACCCCAGUAACAUCAGAGGAAGCCUUGAAAAACCACAGCAUUAAGUUGGAUAAUGAGGGUCUGAAACUCUCAGACAUGGAUGCUGAGCCAGAUAUGUCCAAUCCAGCCACUCAGGUAUAUGAGGUCAACCCUAAUUUAGGGUCUCAAGUAAAAUCUGACUCAUUUUCUACUGAUACUUUGACCAUUAAUGAAAAUAAAGAUUUAAAUGAUAAUUUGAAUGCUGAUAAUGUCAAAUUAGAAACUGAAGUUGUUAGGCAAGAGAUGGAGCUGCAGUCAUCCAGCAAAGACCUAUCAGGUGUUGGUAGCUCUCAUCCAUUGGAUGGUCAGAUGCCACAUGAGAUGCAGGGUCUUGUUGGAGAAACUGAUGAUGACAAAUCUUCAGAUGUGAAAUUUAGCAUGAAAAAUGACAAUGCAGAUCAGGUUUCUGUUGACGUUUCCAAGGUAGAGCAUGAUUUCGAGAGUAAGACUCCAAAUAAUAGUGAGCAACCCGAUAUACAGUUUGAAAAAGCUAGAACUUUAGGUGAUGUUGAAGAGCCUAGUUUGUCACCCAUGAAAAUUGAGGCAUCUGCGGAAGAUACACACGAUCUUGCUGUUUCUGGUGAUGAUAGAAAAGAUUUUAGCAAGAUAGCCGAUGUAGUGGAUGGUGAGAAUAUGGAAAAGAUUAACUUGGAUCAGUCUUCUGCUGAUGAUUCCAUGGAGGAGGAUGUAGUAGAGACAAAACAUGUGGAUUUUGAUCAUAUUUCUAAGAAAGAGAAUGACAAGACUGAUGAGUUUAUUACGGGAAUGACAGAAGAGCCCAAAGUUCGACCAAGUGGUUCUUCUGAUGCAAUGCAGCUAGACAUUCCUUCUGAGAAGGUUGCGUCUCCUCAAGAAACUAAAGAUAAGUCUCUUGCUUUGUCAGAGAAGAGAAAGUUUCAAGAUGAAGCAGGAGGUGGGAGUAAAGAGCCUGCAAAAAGGCAGCGUAGAUGGAACACUGAGAAGACUGCUGAACCCCAAAAUUCUAGUAUUGCUUUAACAAAGAAGGUUGUUCAGCCCACUCCUAUCAAACCCAUCCUUGGCAGGACUAACUCUACAGUUGGUGGGGAUUCACCCAAGGAGCGCUUUGUACCAAAGUCUUCAAAAACAGCCACUACUUCUCUCAAAAUUGAGAAUUUCUUGCGGCCUUUUACGCUGAAAGCUGUGCAAGAGCUCCUUGCAAGGACUGGUGAAGUCUGCAGUUUCUGGAUGGACCAGAUAAAGACCCAUUGCUAUGUCACGUAUUCUUCGGUAGAAGAAGCCACAGAGACCAGAAACGCGGUGUACAAUCUCCAAUGGCCACCAAAUGGUGGUCGUCUCCUGGUUGCAGAUUUUGUUGAUCCUCAACAGGUGCAAACCAAGAUAGAGGGUCGGGAACCUGCUUCUCCACCGAAAGUUACCAGUCCUGCUGUGCCUGCUUCAUCCUUUGUUCAAACACCACCUGCUCAGCAGCAGGGUCGCAAACAACAAGCUGAGUUGGAACAUUCACUCACACGCCAGCCACCUCCUGCUCCUCCUAGUGCUCCUCCAACAAAAGAGAUGCUGCCUUCACCUGUUGCUGAUAAAAAUGAUCCCCCUAUUGUUACUUUGGAUGACCUCUUCAGAAAGACCAAAGCCACUCCCCGUAUCUAUUAUUUACCGCUGACAGAUGAAGAAGUUGCUAAAAAGCUUGCCAUUAGGGGAAAUGCUAAGCCUUGAGAUAUUAGGUAAAUAAAGGGGCAUGUUAGAUGGAUCUGUAGAGUGGUGUUCUAGUGUAAUGCUGAAAACUGCAAGUUUGCCCGCAUGAAGAAGUUGCAGUCUAAUUUGUAGGCGAGUAGUGAGUUUCUUGAGGCUCGUUGAGACUUUCCUUUCUUUUCUAUUUUUGGUUUGUUACUGUUUGCAGACUUUGGUUGCUACUAGGUGCAAGUCUUAACUGUAUUUUGCUUUGGUUUGAAG
rnacentral:misc_RNA from 1 species